CUCAUCAAAUAAUAGCAACAUUUCCAGGAUCAAGUUCCGUCUUCCUGAUGGAUCCUCAAGCAUAGCACAGUUUUCUUCGAGUACCACAUUGGAAGAAGUAAGACAGCAUGUGAGACAGAACAUAAAUCUUCCUUUCUCCAGUUUCACCUUGACAUCAACUGUCCAUAAUAGACCAUUUACAUCAGAGGAUAAUGAUAGGUCUCUUACUGACCUUGGCCUUGUACCAUCUGCCAUCUUGAUUAUUUUGUCUCAGAGCAGUAUAGGAGGCGGUGGUAGUGUUGUUCCCUCUGGUGGGAUAGUAGAUUUCUUCUGGAUUCUUCUUUCCCCCAUUACAUUUCUGCUUGGUUUAGUCCGGCAACUGUUUGGUGGAAAUUCAGCACCUCGUUCUCCAUCCACAUCUGGGAGUGAUGAACCUACAGCUAAAAGAGCUAGAGAGGAGGGACCAUCUACUUCCCAACAGAGACCCCAGACGGCAUAUGGUACACGUGCUGAAGCCCGAUUGCGUAGAGAGGGUAACAUUCACCGACUCCGCAAUAAUGAUGAUGAUGAUGACGAUGAAAAUAAUACAUGGAAUGGUAAUUCAACCCAGCAAAUGUGAAAUGAAAAUUUAUUUUUAUUCACUGCAAGACAGGUUGUAUGAUAGUUCAUUAUUUAGUCAAUGAGGAUGAGAUAAUUUCUGUGGUAUUUCCACUUACAUAUUAUGUAUGCUAAACAAACACACACACAUAUACAGGCACCAUAAGACACAGAUGUAGACACAGAUAUGGGAAUAUAUGGAUCAGAAAAUUGUGUAGUGAUUUGAAAAUCUUUAAAUGUUCUCUUUGUGGGUAUAUUUAUACGUGUGUCCCUUUACACAUCUGUAUGUGCUGACUUGCAUAUACAAAGAGAUUGUGUGUGUGUGUACGCGUGUGUGCGUGUGUGGACGUGUAUACAUGGUAUGUGCGUGCAUUCGUGUGUGCGUUUGUGCAUGCACGUGGUUGUGUGUGUGCAUGGGUGCAUAUGUGUAGAAGUGGGUGCAUGUGUCCGUGUAUGUGUGUGACUGUGUAAGUGUGUGUGACUGUGUAAGUGUGUGUGACUGUGUAAGUGUGUGUCUGUGUAAGUGUGUGUGACUGUGUAAGUGUGUGUGACUGUGUAAGUGUGUGUGACUGUGUAAGUGUGUGUGACUGUAAGUGUGUGUGACUGUGUAAGUGUGUUUGAUUGUGUAAGUGUGUGUGACUGUGUAAGUGUGUGUGACUGUGUAAGUGUGUGGGACUGUGUAAGUGUGUGUGUGUGUGUGUGUGUGUGUAUGUCUGUUUUUAUGUCUAUUAAUGUGUGGACAUGUGAGCAUGCACAAUUGUAUACAUUUUUGUUUCUUUGAGUAUGUGUUGUGUACAUGAAUACAUGACUGCUUCUAGAUUUAUUUUUUACUUGUAUUUGUAUUGCAUAGUUAUACGUGCACACAGGUGAUAGAUGAAUAUAUAAGCACUUCUUGUGUGCACUUAUCUAUAUAUUUAAUCAUACUGGUGGCAAAGAGAAGAAUGGUGCCCAGUGUAUGGCAGGUCAAGCAUUUCAGUUAAGAAGUAAUGUCCCUCGCAAGGGAUGGUAACCAAGGCUGUCAGAGAUCUGCCUUUCUUCUACAUGUUUAAAAUAUCAAUCUGUCAGUGUGAAAAGCAUUGAACCAGCUCUGACUGUUUAAUAUACUGCUGUGUAGGGUCUUGCAGCACCAAACCUGAACUACUCCAAAAGACAGCAUUUUAGUAUGCCUUUUUCAAUAGCCUGUCAAGCAAUAAAGUUUCUCUGAAUGGUACGUAGAUACCUUAAGAAGAAUCUUUAGAGCCCUUUGCAAAUUGUUACCUUUUAUAAUGAUAGCCACUUAUUUAUAACCAAAUGUUAUCACCACCUUUAAUAUUCAUAAUUAAAGUAUGUAUUUUGAGACUGUAUCAUGGUUUUUAAAGAGUCACUUAUUAUAUCUGAUAUUUAUGUUUUACUGACUCGUUAUAUUGCAUACAAAAAUAGGAUGUAAUGGAUUAAGUUAUGGGCAAACAAUUAUUGCUUUGAAUAUUGUAUUUAUUAUUAGCCUUUCCUGUUAGCAUGUCCAUUUUCUGGAAUCCAUGUACAUGUUACAUAUGAGGGUCAGGAGAUACACAUUAGACCUUUGAUAAUGGAAAUGACAGCUAUUACUUUGCAAAGGAGUAAAAUAUUUUUUAAAGGUAUCAAAGCUUUUUGAUUAUAGUUCAAUUGUUAUUAGGUGCUGUAUCAAUGUUGAAAGUUGAUAUGAAAAUGUUUUUUUUUUUUUUUUCAGUUCCCAAGAGGAAUUGUAUUUGUUAUAAUUAUCAUUGGAAUUAGAACUUACUUGUAUUGUGCAAUAUGAUUUUUUUGUUAAGUGCAAAGGCAUGCACUUGAAUAUUUAAUUUUCCACAGUAGUUUGUUAUUGAGGUGAAAAUAUAUUCAGAGGAAAUGUAACAGACUUUCACUUCCCAAUCAUAUUUCAAAUUAUACUAAUUUUAUAUAUUUCCUCCAAAAUAUUCAUGCAUACUAAUUAGUAAUGUUAUUAUUGCUGUCCUCAAUUAAAAUGAAAAUAGUUUUUAUCAUGCACUGGCAUUGGAGUUCAGAAACUGAGUUCAGGUCACUGAAGUAUAAGAAAUAAAAUCUUUCUAGAUU